rnacentral:rRNA from 1 species
AUUGAACGCUGGCGGCAUGCUUUACACAUGCAAGUCGAACGGUAACAGGCCGCAAGGUGCUGACGAGUGGCGAACGGGUGCGUAAUGCAUCGGAACGUGCCCAGUCGUGGGGGAUAACUACUCGCAAGAGUAGCUAAUACCGCAUACGAUCUAUGGAUGAAAGCGGGGGACCGUAAGGCUUCGCGCGAUUGGAGCGGCCGAUGUCAGAUUAGGUAGUUGGUGGGGUAAAGGCUCACCAAGCCAACGAUCUGUAGCUGGUCUGAGAGGACGACCAGCCACACUGGAACUGAGACACGGCCCAGACUCCUACGGGAGGCAGCAGUGGGGAAUUUUGGACAAUGGGCGCAAGCCUGAUCCAGCAAUGCCGCGUGCAGGAAGAAGGCCUUCGGGUUGUAAACUGCUUUUGUACGGAACGAAACGGCUCUGGUUAAUACCCGGGGCUAAUGACGGUACCGUAAGAAUAAGCACCGGCUAACUACGUG